rnacentral:rRNA from 1 species
AUUGAACGCUGGCGGCAUGCUUUACACAUGCAAGUCGAGCGGCAGCGCGGGGGCAACCCUGGCGGCGAGCGGCGAACGGGUGAGUAAUGCAUCGGAACGUAUCCUCGAGUGGGGGAUAACCCAGCGAAAGUUGGGCUAAUACCGCAUGAGCUCUGAGGAGGAAAGCGGGGGACCUGCGGGGCCUCCCGCUGGGGGGGGGGCCGAUGUCCGAUUAGCUAGUUGGUGGGGUAAAGGCUUACCAAGGCGACGAUCGGUAGCUGGUCUGAGAGGAUGAUCAGCCACACUGGGACUGAGACACGGCCCAGACUCCUACGGGAGGCAGCAGUGGGGAAUUUUGGACAAUGGGGGCAACCCUGAUCCAGCCAUGCCGCGUGAGUGAAGAAGGCCUUCGGGUUGUAAAGCUCUUUCGGACGGAACGAAAUGGGCGGGACUAAUACUCCUGUCAGAUGACGGUACCGUAAGAAGAAGCACCGGCUAACUACGUG